rnacentral:rRNA from 1 species
UACGAAGGGGGCUAGCGUUGUUCGGAAUUACUGGGCGUAAAGCGUGCGCAGGCGGUUUUUCAAGUCAGGGGUGAAAGCCCAGAGCUCAACUCUGGAAUUGCCUUUGAAACUGACGAACUGGAGUACGAGAGAGGUGAGUGGAAUUCCCAGUGUAGAGGUGAAAUUCGUAGAUAUUGGGAGGAACACCGGUGGCGAAGGCGGCUCACUGGCUCGUAACUGACGCUCAUGCACGACAGCGUGGGGAUCAAACAGG